rnacentral:misc_RNA from 1 species
UCUCCGUUGGUGAACCAGCGGAGGGAUCAUUACAGGACUCGCAAGACUCCUUCACCCUGUGAACCUCACUACAAGCACGUUGCUUCGGCGGGUGUCCCGGCGGGGGUUUUCCCUCGCCGGGGCGCACAGCCCGCCGGCAGCCUACUAUACUCUGUCUCUUUGCGUUGGCAUCUCGAGAAAAAACAAACAAGUUAAAACUUUCAACAACGGAUCUCUUGGUUCUGACAUCGAUGAAGAACGCAGC